rnacentral:lncRNA from 1 species
CACAAAACCAUAAAACGCUAUAUCACACCUUCCUUUUCAAAUGAAACAAUAACUAAUUUAGUAAACAUUCCUUCUAGUGUCAUCAAACAAUUGGGAUGAUUCUUCCAAGACAAACAUUUGAUUCUUAACCAACCACUAACGAGCACAUUUAGACAUGUUUGAUACACAGUACUUGACAGAAAUGAAUAUAUAACCAAGAAGAUUUUAAUUCUUUGUUUACCGUCUAGUUCAACAUAUCAAACAUGUCAACAAUACAGAAUCAUCAUAUAAAUCAAAGAAAAAAAGACACAGUACAAAAAUUAUCAGCAUAAUCUAUAAUGUUCUAAGCAAAGUUAAUAUAUUCUCAAGCCGAGUUGCUGAUUUCUUGAUCUGAUGAGAUAUGGCAUAUCAACAUGAGAAGAAGUUCAAACAUAAACAAGACGAGAAGGGCUCUAAACAUUCAUCAAAUGGUCGGUGGGAUCUGGAAAAUUUUCUAUUUAUGAUCCAAAUUCAAAUAAAUAACUUGAAAUAUAUUAGCAUCUAAGCUACUUUUUCUAGGUAAUAUAAGUUUUAUUUAGAACUAUUAACCUUGAUCUUAAGGAAUUCUAGAGACAAAGUAUCUCAAAUAAACAAAAAUCAAGCUUUCUUAAUGCCUUCACGGCACCCGAAAAUCAAAACUAUUUAGGACACAUUUAGCACCUAGUAUCACCCCCUUUCUUAAUCAUAUCAAAUAUUGUCAAGUCCAGCAGACCAAAUGUGCACUGGACAUAACAAAGAUCAGAAUCACCGGGGAGCUAAGGGCGAAGGGUUGUCAUCAGAGCGACCUUCGUCGAAGUUUUGAUAGUAGCUUUGAGCAUCGUAAUUGUAUCGUAUAGUGUUGCUUUUCCUCCUCAGAAGUUGUUUCCAUUGUGAAUUGAACCUCCAAAUCAACAGUCUUGCAGAACAUGAUACAUGGCAACAAUUUUCCUGCAAUCUUUUUUUAAUAGUAAUCAAUCUAAGUGCAGAACUACUGCACAUAAUUUUCCUUCUCAAUUUCAGGAUUUUAUUCUUCAAGCUUCCAAGAUGAGAAAAUUUCAUGGUUGAAGCAACAAGGACCAUAUACUGAAUAGCUGCAGAAGAAAGAGUUUUGGCAAUUUAAUACAUGAAAACACGUGGGAGAUGCCUUGUGAAAGUGAUGAUAUUCUAUUGGACGUAACUUUCACUUGACCAAAAAGUAUUCAUGUA